AUUCCAUAUUCCAUUAAGUGCGUUAAGACGAAUCAAGAGCGCGCUGUGCCAGGGAAGCGUAGUAGCGUUCAACACUGGUGAGACCUCGCUGAAUACGAAGCUUUCCUUUUACUCAAUCGUACAUUUUACACACUGUUAGUGUAUUGAAUUUUCUAACAGUCUGCCGAUUUCUGAACCCCACAAACCUAAUGAUGGAGUUAUCUUUGAUUUCAGCGCAGCAUUUUCCGGCUGUGAGUGGGGCCUUCAUGGAUUCCCCGUACAAUGGCAACACGUCCCUCCAGACCUCCACCUCCAACCUCAACGUCAACUUCUCCCGGCCGACCGAGGUGGAAGAGGAGGGCAAGUACUCCAGCGACGCCAUCUGGCUUUGGGUAGCCGUCAUUGCAACCAUCGGCAACAUAGUAGUGGUAGCAGUGGUUUGCGCCUGUGCCUUCUAAGACCCGUUAGUUACAAGCACACAGCCGAACAUCCCUCUUGCCCCAUCUUUCCUCCACUUUAACCUAUCCCUAUAUUAAUUUUACUCUUGUAAGUGUCCACCCAUAAUAUUAAAGCCAAGGCCCUGUUCUGAGGGUCAAUGGAAUAUGAUAGUGAAAAUAUAGGGACUGGCUUAACUGAUGUUUUCCAGGACUAGGAAUGAGAGAAACAAUCCUCCGUAGUUACCAUACUGUAUCUUAACUUAAGCCUAUGUCUCACACUGUUUUUUUUUUUAAUGAGAAAUGGUGAAGUGAGCUGAUGUGGGCUGUGCCUUUUUAUAAUGAACAUGGUAAAUUAUUUAAGGAAGUGUGCAAUAUAUAAAGCAGUUGAGUGAGCCUCCCUUCUGCUUUCCAAUUGAAGGGUUCACCAGAGGUCAGCCUAAAGGAUUAGGGAAGUGUACAGCUGUGAGAUCCCCUCUGCCUAUGAACCUGAACAGAACACCACAUCAUAUAUCUUUGUCUGGUUGAUGUCAUGUGACUGUUUGUCUGGAAUGGAUGUGUUGAUGCUGCUGUCUUGGUCCAGUUCCCUCUUGAAAAAUAGAUUUUUAUCUCAACAAGACUAACCUGGUUAAAUAAGGGUGAAAUAAAUAAUCAGCAUCUCUCGUUGUGGCUGGCCAUCGUCUCGGAGACCAGUGGAGAGAUAUGUGACAGAUGGUGGCUGGUAGUGGGGCAGAGGGGACAGCGGAGGGGCCCAGGGCAGGCUUGGCAGGGCCCCCAGUACCUGGUGUUAUUUCCUGUGACUGCUGCACCCCUGCACUACCAUUCACCAUUACUGCUCUGUCCUGUCCUCAUCAGCCUGUCAGUGAUAGAAAUCUCCCCAAGCACUUUAUAAAACGCAAUAAAGUGGGGAGUUUUCUUUCAUUUUAACUGCAUUGUUCUGCAGUGGCUGUAGACCUGUGCCAGUUUAACUAUGCAGUAAAGGCAUCCUAUUGGGCACACACUGGUUGAAUCAAUGUUGUUUCCACGUCAUUUCAAUGAAACGACGUUGAGCCAACAUGGAAUAGAUGUCGAAUUGCCGUCUGUGCCGUCAGUGGGAUAGCAGUGGCUAAUGUUUAUGAGUGAGACAAAUGUGUAGAAACACAGUAUCACCCACAAGCCAAAUGAGUGAAUGAAGUUGUCAGCACAAAUCAGAUGUUAUACCACCCCUGCUGACAUUCUGAAAUUACGGAACCACCAAUUACAUCACACUAAAUCAUUGAGCCGCCCACCAUUACCAGACCACUGCUACAACAACCUCAAGCUGUUGAGCUAGCAAUCAAAUGAUUUCUCUCGUCAUAAGAAACCCCAUUGCUGUUAACGUUAGUUUUUUAGUUGCUGUGCCAGGCAGGCAGAAUCUCACAUUCUCCUCAGAAUGUCUCUCAGUAGACUAGUGUGUGUGUGUAGGUGGCAGCAGCCCCAGUAGUUCCGUGCUGUGCUGUCUCCCAUGCACCCAGUGGAGCCGGGCCACAGACUUGUCAAACGGCAGGGCUUUAAUGAGAUGUAAUGCCUCUCUCUCUCUUUCCUAAAGCGAACACUGACCUCCCGUUGCGCUGUGGUGAUCAGAACAGAGCUGAUCCCUGCUGCACUCAGCUGCUCUGAACAAAGAUAGUGCUUCAAGUGCAUUUUUAGAGUGUGACUUCCUCAUUUAAUCAGCACUAGUUGAUAGAGAGAAGGGGGAAGGAGAGAGGAGUAGACGAGAGGAGUGACUGCAUGGGAAUUGAUUUAUAACAGCCAACUUCCAUGUCAUCUCUUUGAAAUACAAAACUUUUUUUGAAGUUGAAUGGAAAAUUCCAUUAUUUUUAUUGAAACCAACGAAGUGGAAUAAAAAGUUUGAAAAUGGAGAGAUUUAGGAUCAAAGGUCUGUCUGAGCCAUCACUUCACACAGCUAAUUGCCCUGAUCUCACUGUACAGUAGAGUUAAUGAAAACAAGAGACCGAUUCAUCAUGGCAUCUCUGAGCGGUCCUUUUCAGGGUCCUUAGAGAGUUUAGCCAGAAACCUGCGGGAACAUUAAUCCGUUGUCUGUUACAAUAAACAACAACAAUCGCACUGAAUGGGGUCUUCAUAAGUAUCUGCUGGCAAUACCUCAAUAUGAUGCUAACAAGUUAGUAUUAUACAUCCCCACUAUAUGUAGUUGCUUUAAUACUGUAACUAUUCUGAAGCAAAAUUCAUAUGAACUAGGUGAGGAAUCCCAGGUAGCUAUAAUAGGAAUUUCUUCUACCCUUGUAUCGGCUGUGUGCUUUGACAUGGGACUGGUUAAGGCUCAGGUGCCCACUGUCUACGGCUCAAAUUAUGUGCCUGAACUGACUAACACAACUCCUACCCGUCAACUUCUUAUUGACCAUGGACGCCCCUUGACCACCAUGGAUGAUGGUCCUCCUAAACACCACAAAACGUCAUCACAGCCUCAAGUCCAGACUCCCAGGAAUUUUCCAUCCUUCCUCGGGCCUCCAGGAAUAUAUAUGCUAAUUAAAGCUGACUUCCUAUAUCUUGAGUACAGCAGAAACAGUAUGGUUGACUAGGGACUGUGACUUUAUAAAAGCACCCAGAGGAAACCCAUAAAGACUACAUGGAGGCUGGGAGGAAUAUUGUGGAUAGGUGGGACUUGAGAGGUGACAGUAACAGACAUCAUAUUUAUGACUUCAACAAAUAAUACCAUAUCUUAUUCAAGGUUACUUGUAGUUAACUUUAUUUGGAAUGUGCUGUGACUCAUGACACUCAAAGGACCUAGAAAGUAUGUCUUGUAUGUCUUGUUUUGAAAUUGAUUUUCUGACAGCGAUUCACAUAUUCAUUGCAAUGAAUGAAUGGAUAUUUAUCGACUUCGUUGACUCUGAAGCCUUGGAUUCUACAUUUCUGUGCAUCCAGUUGCAGUGUUGUAAGUUCUGAAAGCUCCCUGUAGGUGUCAGGGUUACCGCUAUGAAAUACUGAUUAACAGAAAGGCUGUUGGCUAAAUACAGGAGCUGUAUUAGUUCAAUUAAUUCACAAUGUUCAUUCACAAAAGCAUUCUAUAACAAUUUACUUCCUACAAAAUACUGCACAGAGUCAUGUCACUGCAAUUGUUUUAAAUUACAUUUCUAGAGGGGGAGGGGAACACUUACUGUCUUGACUUUCCAUAAAUGUAUGACCUACUUUGAAAAGAUAUCUUGUAAAAAAAAAGAGAAGGAAAUCUAACAUUUGGGGGUUUUCUUUUCAUUUCAGUAUGUGUAAAAGCAUGAUUGCAAUGUACAGUAUAAACACUAUGGGGGUUAUUCAUUUUUAUUUUUAACAUGAUAUUUCAGGCUCAUUAUUAUUUUGUUCCCAUGCUAGAUUAACCAAAACAUGCGCACACACGCGUUGUGAAACGUGGCUUGCAUUACAUGAGCCAGGAUUCAAUAUGUGUACCUUUAUAAGGAUAAUGGAUGUGUACACGUCAGUAAAUUAGGCCAGCUCUGUUGUUCAUAUGCUCCUCAAUACCAGUAGUCCCAACAUCCAAGCCAUGUGUACAUGCUCAUCGCAAAGACAUCUUAAUAUGGAAAACACUUAAAUGCAGCUGGUGCGAGACCACAUGACAGUUCAACCAUGAUCAUUUUCUUGUGUUUUCAAUUUCUUUUGUGAUAUUUUGAUUUAGUAUGAGCUUACUUAGCGUGUUUGCAUGUAUUGUGUUACUUCCGUCCCAAAAUGUUGUUCGUCGACAUCUCUGCAAGCUGCGUUCCAGUAAGGGAUAAAUAAUGUAAUAAUCAUGAUCUUAUGGAAUAUUGAUUGGAUGAUUCAUUACUUUGUACAUGUAGAACUAAUGUGGAAUAUUUUUUGUAAACUUUUUAUUGAUCAUGUACAUUUUUCCAAUGUUUUAGCAAUUGUCAGUGCAGAAAAAUUGCUGCUAUAGUCAUGAUGUGUUUUUUUUACACACUCUUGCAAGUGAACAGAAAAGCUUAGAAGUAAACAUGUUUUUACCUGCAUAAUAAAAAAAUCUAUAUUGUGUGUUAACCUCAUGAUUUACCAUCCUG
rnacentral:lncRNA from 1 species